rnacentral:rRNA from 1 species
GAUGAACGCUAGCGGGAGGCCUAACACAUGCAAGCCGAGCGGUAGAGUUCCUUCGGGAACUUGAGAGCGGCGUACGGGUGCGUAACACGUGUGCAACCUACCUUUAUCUGGGGGAUAGCCUUUCGAAAGGAAGAUUAAUACCCCAUAAUAUAAUGAUUGGCAUCAAUUAUUAUUGAAAACUCCGGUGGAUAGAGAUGGGCACGCGCAAGAUUAGAUAGUUGGUGAGGUAACGGCUCACCAAGUCAAUGAUCUUUAGGGGUCCUGAGAGGGAGAUCCCCCACACUGGGACUGAGACACGGACCAGACUCCUACGGGAGGCAGCAGUGAGGAAGAUUGGACAAUGGGUGAAAGCCUGAUCCAGCCAGCCCGCGUGAAGGAGGACGGUCCUAUGGAUUGUAAACUUCUUUUGUACAGGGAUAAACCUACUCUCGGGAGGGUAGCUGAAGGUACUGUACGAAUAAGCACCGGCUAACUCCGUG